rnacentral:tRNA from 1 species
UCCCUGGUGGUAAAGUGGUUAAGACUCUGUGCUUCUAACGCAGGGGGCAUGAAUUCGAUCCCCGGCCAGGGAA